rnacentral:RNase_P_RNA from 20 species
GAAGCUGACCAGACAGUCGCCGCUUCGUCGUCGUCCUUUCGGGGAGACGGGCGGAGGGGAGGAAAGUCCGGGCUCCAUAGGGCAGGGUGCCAGGUAACGCCUGGGGGGGAAACCCACGACCAGUGCAACAGAGAGCAAACCGCCGAUGGCCCACGUAAGUGGGAUCAGGUAAGGGUGAAAGGGUGCGGUAAGAGCGCACCGCGCGGCUGGUAACAGUCCGUGGCACGGUAAACUCCACCCGGAGCAAGGCCAAAUAGGGGUUCAUAAGGUACGGCCCGUACUGAACCCGGGUAGGCUGCUUGAGCCAGUGAGCGAUUGCUGGCCUAGAUGAAUGACUGUCCACGACAGAACCCGGCUUAUCGGUCAGUUUCAC